rnacentral:misc_RNA from 1 species
AACGCAUAUUGCACUCCUUGGUAUUCCUUGGAGUAUGUCUGUUUCAGUAUCAUAAAAUCUAUCGAACUUUCAAAUUUUUGAGAGAAUCGAAAUUGAGCUUUUGUAGGAGGUCUCUUUGGCUUUUCUACUAGCUUUAAAUCUAGUCGUGGCCGCAUCUUUCGAAAGAUAAAGGCGUCAUAGUUGACUCUCUAGAGAGUUCAUCUUUCGCUUUAUGUCUGAAAAUGCAUUAGACUACGUUAAAUUCUUUUCACUCUUGAUCUGAAAUCAGGCAGGACUACCCGCUGAACUUAA